rnacentral:rRNA from 1 species
GUGGGGAAUUUUGGACAAUGGGCGCAAGCCUGAUCCAGCAAUGCCGCGUGCAGGAAGAAGGCCUUCGGGUUGUAAACUGCUUUUGUACGGAACGAAAAGGUUCUCUCUAAUACAGGGGGCUGAUGACGGUACCGUAAGAAUAAGCACCGGCUAACUACGUGCCAGCAGCCGCGGUAAUACGUAGGGUGCAAGCGUUAAUCGGAAUUACUGGGCGUAAAGCGUGCGCAGGCGGUUUUGUAAGACAGGCGUGAAAUCCCCGGGCUCAACCUGGGAAUUGCGCUUGUGACUGCAAGGCUGGAGUGCGGCAGAGGGGGAUGGAAUUCCGCGUGUAGCAGUGAAAUGCGUAGAUAUGCGGAGGAACACCGAUGGCGAAGGCAAUCCCCUGGGCCUGCACUGACGCUCAUGCACGAAAGCGUGGGGAGCAAACAGGAUUAGAAACCCCUGUAGUCC